rnacentral:rRNA from 1 species
AGAUACCCUGGUAGUCCACGCUGUAAACGAUGUCGACUUGGAGGUUGUGCCCUUGAGGCGUGGCUUCCGGAGCUAACGCGUUAAGUCGACCGCCUGGGGAGUACGGCCGCAAGGUUAAAACUCAAAUGAAUUGACGGGGGCCCGCACAAGCGGUGGAGCAUGUGGUUUAAUUCGAUGCAACGCGAAGAACCUUACCUACUCUUGACAUCCACGGAAUUCGCUAGAGAUAGCUUAGUGCCUUCGGGAACCGUGAGACAGGUGCUGCAUGGCUGUCGUCAGCUCGUGUUGUGAAAUGUUGGGUUAAGUCCCGCAACGAGCGCAACCCUUAUCCUUUGUUGCCAGCACGUCAUGGUGGGAACUCAAAGGAGACUGCCGGUGAUAAACCGGAGGAAGGUGGGGAUGACGUCAAGUCAUCAUGGCCCUUACGAGUAGGGCUACACACGUGCUACAAUGGCAUAUACAAAGAGAAGCAAACUCGCGAGAGCAAGCGGACCUCAUAAAGUAUGUCGUAGUCCGGAUUGGAGUCUGCAACUCGACUCCAUGAAGUCGGAAUCGCUAGUAAUCGUAGAUCAGAAUGCUACGGUGAAUACGUUCCCGGGCCUUGUACACACCGCCCGUCACACCAUGGGAGUGGGUUGCAAAAGAAGUAGGUAGCUUAACCUUCGGGAGGGCGCUUACCACUUUGUGAUUCAUGACUGGGGUGAAGUCGUAACAA